rnacentral:rRNA from 1 species
AACGAACGCUGGCGGCAUGCCUAACACAUGCAAGUCGAACGAGACCUUCGGGUCUAGUGGCGCACGGGUGCGUAACGCGUGGGAACCUGCCCUUAGGUUCGGAAUAACUCCCCGAAAGGGGUGCUAAUACCGGAUAAUGUCUUCGGACCAAAGAUUUAUCGCCUUUGGAUGGGCCCGCGCUGGAUUAGCUAGUUGGUAGGGUAAAAGCCUACCAAGGCGACGAUCCAUAGCUGGUCUGAGAGGAGGAUCAGCCACACUGGGACUGAGACACGGCCCAGACUCCUACGGGAGGCAGCAGUGGGGAAUAUUGGACAAGGGGCGAAAGCCUGAUCCAGCAAUGCCGCGUGAGUGAUGAAGGCCUUAGGGUUGUAAAGCUCUUUUAGCCGGGAUGAUAAUGACAGUACCGGGAGAAUAAGCACCGGCUAACUCCGUG